rnacentral:rRNA from 1 species
GACGAACGCUGGCGGCGUGCUUAACACAUGCAAGUCGAACGGAAAGGCCCCCACUUUUUUGGUGGGGGUGCUCGAGUGGCGAACGGGUGAGUAACACGUGGGUGAUCUGCCCUGUACUUCGGGAUAAGCUUGGGAAACUGGGUCUAAUACCGGAUAGGACCAUGGUUUAGUGUCUCAUGGUGGAAAAAUUAUUGUUUUGGUGCAGGAUGAGCUCGCGGCCUAUCAGCUUGUUGGUGGGGUAAUGGCCUACCAAGGCGUCGAGGGGUAGCCGGCCUGAGAGGGUGGACGGCCACAGUGGGACUGAGAUACGGCCCAGACUCCUACGGGAGGCAGCAGUGGGGAAUAUUGCACAAUGGGCGCAAGCCUGAUGCAGCGACGCCGCGUGGGGGAUGACGGCCUUCGGGUUGUAAACUCCUUUCGUUAGGGACGAAGCCGCACCUUUUUUGGGUGUGGUGACGGUACCUUUGUUAAGAAGCACCGGCUAACUACGUG